AGGAUUGUGUGUUGAUAAUUAUUUUUCCAGGAUUGAUGAUAAUAUUGAAGAGGAAGGAGCUAGGAGUGAGUUGCUAAGUGACAGAAAAAGAGCAAGUGGAAGUUUCUUAGAAGUAGAGAAGGAAACAAGAAAGCAGAAAGUGAGAAGUUCUCUGCCUCCUCCCUUAUGGAGCCUUGGCUUUCCACAGACGAUGGAAUGUUUGUCUGAUGCUGGGCAAAGAAGAUUAAUGACAAGGUAAUGAGAGUUUCUAUUUAUGCCAGCUCCUUUGUCUGAGUUCCCAGCCUGGGAACUCUAAACCAUCCAGCCACCCACCAGGCCUCAGGAGACAGUUCUUCAGGCAGUGUUGGUGAGCUCUGUGGUGUCACAGCAAGAUCGCUUUGUCUUUCACUCCUGACCACGAUGUGCAUUUUGUAAGAAGGAAGCUUGCUUGAGGCACAAGAUUCGGGACUGGCUCCACUUGCUAAGUUGGUUUUGGUUUUGCACAGACAAAGUUUUUUAACUUGCUAGACAUUUUCAACAUCAUCCACAGUUUGAUUCCAGAUUCCACAGCUAAGCCUUGAGAGUCUAAAGCGCCUCUUAUUUUGAAGACCAGCAUUGAAGAAAGAGCAGAUGGGAUGUGGUAAGGGGCACGGUCAUGAUGGCAGAGCUGGAGGAGAAGAAGGUGUGACCAGGACCUUCCCUGUACCGGAUGGAGAGCUAAGCUGCGGCCGAGUGUCCCAUGGUGAAGCUAGCUUCAUGUUCUUCCCCUGCCCAGGUCUCUCAGCAAGGAAGCCCUCUAGGCCUCAGUGCUUGCAGCAAUACCAUUUGGAGUCAAUGCUCCAGUUCUGGAAAUUCUCUUCAUUCACAGGGCAUGUACAGGAGGUAGGACACACAGGCGAGAAAAUCAGGCAUUAGGCCUAAAAUCUUACAUAUCAACUGUUCCUUGUUUUCUCAUUUUUUGCUUGAUUUCCAAGGGCAUCAGUGACUGAAGAAGUUAAACUUCCUAGACAAAAUUGAAAGUUUAAAAAUGUCUACACUCCUGCUGUUUCUCCCUUUGUGAGAAAUGCUUUAUGCUGGUCAUCAAAAUGCCUAGAGUCCAGGGGUGAUUUGGGCUGAACAUUUGCAUCCCCCCAAAAUCUAUAUGCUGAAGCCUCAACCCCAUGUGUAGCUAUACUUGGAAAUGGGGCAUCUAAGAAAGUAAUUAAGGUUAAAUGAGGUCGUAAGGGUGGGGUCCUGACCCCAUAGGAUUAAUGUCUUUAUAAGAAGAGACACCAGAGAUGGUUGUCUCUCUCCCCAGGUACGCACCAUGGGAAAGCACAAUGAGAAGGCAGCCAUCUGUAAAGAAGAGUGCCCAUACUGGGUUCUGAUCCUGCUGACUCCCUAAUCGUGGACUUCCGGUCUCCAGAACUAUUGUUUAAGCCACCCAGUCUCUAAUAUUGUGUUAUGAAAGCUCAAGUAGACAAAUGCAAAGAGCCCAGAUAUCAUCCUCUAGCCUUCCUUCCCAAACUCACCUGUCUUAGAUUCUAUUCCAUUAGUUCCAGUGUAACAAACUGAUUCAUACUGAUCUAAUAAUCAGGAACAAAUUUCAUCAUCCCCUCAGAGACAUGGUGGGAAAUGAGGCUUUUGAUGCCCAGCCAAUAAAACAACCUAGCAGCCACUUACUUGUCCCUCCAUUUCUUUGCGGCAUUGGCUGGUGUUCAGGCUGGCUCGAAUUACCAAAUAAGGAGAGGGAAUGGAAGAGGAGACAAUGGGAAAUGAAAGGCAGUAGACAGAUUUUGAAAAUGUUCACUUUUAUGCAUGUAUUAUGAGCCUAUACUUUGCUGCUAGUAGGGAAAUAAAAAUGAGUAAGAUAUUUCUUCUAUCCCUAAGCCCAACGUUUAAAGAAAUCAAACCUAGUGAAAGUGAAAAACACUAAGUCAUUGUCACAUUUUAUUUUUUUCUAGUAUCUAAAAAACUGGGCUUACAACAAUCUGGUUUUAUAAUUUUCUUAUUUAAAAAUUAUUUUGUUCAAUUUUUUUAAGUGUUCAGGGACAAAGCGGGGUGGAUUUCCUUAAAAAAUACUACUUGGCAAAAAGCCAGAAUUGGCUAAUAAGAAAUUUUCAGAAUUCUGAAUAGCGUACACUACAUAUAGGCAAUAAUAGACAUAAGCUGAGAGAACAGUCGUAAGAGCUCAGCCACCAGGGAAAUGGAUUUCUGAUUGGCAGGACAUUGUUCUAGGAUUUUGACUCUGGAAGUCAGUCUAUUGUGGAGAUUUUAUUUCUUCCUUUUUCCCCGUUUUCUUUCUUUCUCUCCCUCUUUCCUAUUAUCCUCUCUUUUUUCUCCCUUCUUCUUAUUUUUGGACAUUUAAAAUAGCAAAUCCUAGAAUGAUUUUCUUUUAUUAAUGACUUGGCCCCGUUCUGCAAAAAGAAGAAAGUGCAGAUACGUUAGCUUCCUGGAAGCAGCAAGAGAAAUAAAACUAGUAGUGUUAACUAGUGUAAUCCGAGCAAGGAUGUUUGACACAUAGAGGAGAGGGAAGAAGGCUGGAAAGCAGCCUCUCUCUCCAUAACCUUCUACUCCAAGGCACCUCUCAAGGCCUGGGGAGAGAGUGAAGCUUGUUCCAGAGCUCCAGGGAAGCUGGUUCCUGACUCAGGUUCGGUGUCCCGUGAAGGCUACUUUGUUUUUGAUCCCUGGUUAGGAAGCCACGAGGCAGAAAGAUACUUGGAUGUAACUGGAUGCUUGUAUUUCUUUACAUAUUGUGAUUUAUUGCAAGUUGAUGUAAAUAUUUUAUGCAAUUAUUAGUAACCAAAGACGAAUUGCUAUUUAUGCUUUAUGUUAACAAAAACAUUCUUGUUUCUAGGAAUAGUAUAAAGGGCUGGAUCUUGUAUGUGUAUGAAUCUGGGAAAACCUUAAGAAUUGAGACAUCUUAGUCUUAUCCCUAAGCAUCACCACAAAAUGAGAUUGAGCUUGGUAGGAAAUCACCGUCCUUAAUAAGGAAGGCAAGAUCUGUCCCUUGAGCUCAGAUUGGUGACUAUGAAAUGAUAACUGCAUAACUGCCAGGCAGGGAGGGGACGGCCUCCCCAUGGAGGGCCCGAAAGAGUUAACUGCAUCCCCACAUGCCCCUCCCUUGCUUCCCCAGCUCAGGGAUCUUACUGGAUAGGGCUGGACUUGUCAGGAGAACAAGAACUUGCAGUUCAACUAGGAACUUGGACUUCCCGCACAGAAAAAGUUAAAAAAACUUGCAGGAAUGGGGAAACCUGAAAAUAAAAAGAACAAAACAAAACAAAACAAAGCAGGGUUUGUACUAGUUCAUUAGAUGCCUACGUACAUGUUUGCCUGGCGAUAAAGGGGAUUUGAGGACAUAGGGAAGGGCAAACAGAAAAUGAAAAUAAAGCCAAUUGGCUGGGCUUAUUGUCAUACACUUCCAGGGCACUUGAAGGGGAACGUCUGCGGACAAACUUAUGUUUGGGGGGCCUGGGAGGCACUGAGGGCAGCAGCCUCCACCAGACCCCUAUAGGUAUUCUGUGUCUAGGGAGAUGCUUCCUCUGGGGCCCUCAGGAGAAACUCCUUUGGGUUUUUUUUUUUUUUUUUUCCAAAACUUCAGGCACGACCCUGCAAAGGGAAGGAAUGAUGGAGGUGGCAGAACACGAUUGCUUUCUGUUGAGAAGCGUGUGUGCCUCCAGGCACAGGUGGAUCUACUUUAGCCUCCUUAGACCACAAAAUAAUAUUUCUCCAGAUUGGAUGAAUGCAGGGGCUACCCAAAAGAUUGAACACUCAGCAUUCACACAUUGCUCAUUCAUUCAAUACCUGUGAGCCACAGCUCCAAGUCCGUGGCACCUGAUCCCUUGACACAUGGGACUUCUCUUGCAACACAAAUUAAUAGAUAAAAUGAAGAAUUUCAAGCUGGUGGCUACAGAGUAUUAAACCCCAAGCCACUGAGCAAGGGGCUUUGUGUGAUGUUCUGGUGUUCUGCAAUAAGUCUUUCUAAAAAUGUUAUAAUAUUUAAGUACACUUAGUUUUUGGUAUUUGUAAACAAAACUCUAAGUAAUACAGAAAUUAGUACCAGUCAGUGCUACCCAGAGCAUAGGUAAACUGGGGAAUUAGGCCCGGUUGGGACAAAAAGCAAUAAAAAUAUUAAAUAGUGAUAAUUUACCAAUUCAUGGCUUGUAGCCCAGAAACAAUGAAUUGAAAUACUGCCUGUGGUUACUUAGAAUGCGGUGCUCAUUGCAGCAAGGUUUUGGGAAACUGAGUGGACACUGUUUUGUGAAAGCAUAAAUGACGGGAGGAAAUCAAGGAAGAUACAGGGGCGUGGCUGCUUCUGGGUAGCAUAAGGAAAGAUGAUGGUCAGAUCCAAUUCCUACAUUCUUUGCUCAAGGCACAUAAGGAAGCUCAAGCACUUUCUGUGACCUUGUUAAGAGAAUCUCUCAUGUCUUGCAGGCACAGGGCUCCGAUAAAAACAAUUUCACAGUUUGAUCCUAUGGGCUGCCAAUUUACAACAGUUGAAUUCACAACCUCGUGAGGUGUCGUAUGUGAGAGUGAGGGCAUGGUUAGGAGUGGCUGGGAAGCUGAGAAUUGGAUGAGGCUGUAUAGGAGCGCUAACAACAUUUGGAGCCAUUCCUGUUACCGUCAGCAGAGGCAGACUCUCCUUCUUCCUUACUUGAUAAGUCUGUUAAGCUUUGCCUGAAAGCCCUAUAACUCCUUUGAUGAGUCAAUUCUCUUCAUGUCUCAUCCCAAUUACCCACAAGUAUCUCCUGACCUAUAGCUAUAAACAGAUCCUAGCAUACUCCAAAGAGUGAAUAACAAAUCAAAGCCAGAAGUCUUACACACCCUUCCUAAUUUGCAGUAGGUACGUCUGAAUACCAGGCAAAAGAAUAGCUUCUGAGUGUCUCAGAUUAAGAAGAAAAGAAUAUAUUUUUAAGAUUAGAAUAAAUGUAUGAAUAUAGGCUCACUUACCAUUUAUUCUGAAUUCAAUAUGCAGGACUUAACACCUGAACUUGAUUUCAAUUAUGUUUUGGGUUGAUAUAUUGAGAUCUGGACUAAAUGGUGCCUCAAGUAAAAUAAAGUUUAUAUGCCAACAAUUCUUUGGUCUACUGCAGAAAUAAAGAAUCUGAAUAAUUUGAGA